ensembl:lncRNA ZNF571-AS1 ZNF571 antisense RNA 1
ACAGUGACAGCCACCGUUGCCUGGGGACGGGCCCUAGCGGCUUGGCGGAGCUGGAGCCCUCCCUGGCAGUGCGUCGGCGCUGGGCUAUGGCCCCCUCCUCUCCGGGGGAUCGUCGCCUUGGUCCCCCGACCCUAGGAGUCGGGCAGGGCAGAACCAGGCUAAAGAAACGUCCAGCGUAGCUUCAAGGAUGCACCGCGUGAUCCCUAUCGGAUCUCCCCGACGCGUCAGGCCUGCCUAGACGGUGCUGGGAGCGCGUCUCCUUGAACGUUGUCCCGCCUGGGAUUGCGAGGGCUCACCUGAAACUUCAUGUACCAUUGCACUUCCUGAGAAGCUGUCCCCAAUCCCAGGCUCCUAGCAAUGCUGUUCCAGUAAUCUCUCUUCUGUAAGACAGCCACUCCACCCACUGCAGUCUACAAGGAAAGCCUCCAUAGCUGUGCCUUCUUUCCACAGGCCUUUGAAGAGAGCUUCAGGCACACACCUCAAAGUGCUGCCACCUACGGAUCAGCUGUAUUAUU